rnacentral:rRNA from 1 species
CCCCCCCCGGAGGGAUUGCACAUGGGGGAAACCUGCAUGCAGCUUAUACGCGUGUGUGAUGAAGGUCUUAGGAUUGUAAACACACUUUCAGCAAGGCGAAAAAAUUAAUAUAAAUAAUCACUUAUAUUAACUGAUAUUACCUGCAAAAGAAGUCACCGGCUAACUCCGUGCCAGCAGCCGCGGUAAUACGGAGGGUACAACGCGUUCAAUCGGAAUUAUUGGGCGUAAAGAGUACGUAGGUGGUAUAUUAAGUCAGAUGUGAAAUACUUAAGCUUAACUUAAGAACUGCAUUUGAAACUAAUAAACUAGAGUUUUCAUAGAGGGGAGUAGAAUUCCAAGUGUAGCGGUGAAAUGCGUAGAUAUUUGGAGGAAUACCAGAGGCGAAGGCGACUCCCUGGGUAAUAACUGACACUGAGGUACGACAAGCUUGGGGAGCAAACAGGAUUAGAUACCCUGGAUAGUCCAUGCUGUAAACGAUGUCAAUUUGAAGAUUGUAACUCAUUAUUCA